rnacentral:rRNA from 1 species
UACGGGGGGGGCUAGCGUUGUUCGGAAUUACUGGGCGUAAAGAGCGUGUAGGCGGCCAUACAGGUCCGUUGUGAAAACUGGAGGCUUAACCUCCAGACGUCGAUGGAAACCGUAUGGCUAGAGUCCGGAAGAGGAGAGUGGAAUUCCUGGUGUAGCGGUGAAAUGCGCAGAUAUCAGGAAGAACACCCGUGGCGAAGGCGGCUCUCUGGGACGGUACUGACGCUGAGACGCGAAAGCGUGGGGAGCGAACAGG